CCUACGGGUGGCAGCAGUGAGGAAUAUUGGUCAAUGGACGCGAGUCUGAACCAGCCAAGUCGCGUGAAGGAUGACUGCCCUACGGGUUGUAAACUUCUUUUAUAAAGGAAUAAAAUGAGGCACGUGUGCCUUUUUGCAUGUACUUUAUGAAUAAGGAUCGGCUAACUCCGUGCCAGCAGCCGCGGUAAUACGGAGGAUCCGAGCGUUAUCCGGAUUUAUUGGGUUGAAAGGGAGCGUAGAUGGGUUGUUAAGUCAGUUGUGAAAGUUUGCGGCUCAACCGUAAAAUUGCAAUUGAUACUGGCAGUCUUGAGUACAGGUGAGGUAGGAGGAAUUCGUGGUGUAGCGGUGAAAUGCUUAGAUAUCACGAAGAACCCCGAUUGCGAAGGCAGCUUACUAAACUGUCACUGACAUUGAGGCCCGAAAGUGUGGGGAGCAAACAGGAUUAGAUACCCGGGUAGUC
rnacentral:rRNA from 1 species